AUGAGACGACUAGUUGCCUCACAGGAGCUAUUGCUGGUUCUGCUGAUUUCGCUGCAGUGUCUUUCCUGCCUUGCAAUUGCAAAUCCUGCGUUGGAUCGCCAAGCUGAAGCACUUCUCCAAUGGAAAUCUGGUCUAAGGGGCGAUCUCUCCUACUGCGGGCUAGAGGAAUGGAGCAACGCAACCAGCCCAUGCAACUGGUCAGGCAUAUACUGCAGCUACAAGGUGCGCCGUGGCCAUGAGCGUGAUGCCAUCCUAGUUGUGACAUACAUUACACUUUUCUCAUGUAACAUCUCCGGUGGUUUGAGCAAGCUCCGAUUUGCACAAUUGCCUCAUCUUGUCUUUCUCGACCUUAGCAUUAACUCUCUCUAUGGACCAAUUCCGUCUGAUAUUGGUCGUCUUGCUGAGCUCUCUUACUUGGAUCUCUCUAACAAUAAGCUCACUGGAUCCAUCCCGCCAUCGAUAGGUAAUCUUACGAACCUAGGAUUCCUUGAGCUUUCUAACAAUUAUUUGUCACAAGGGAUACUCAGUUGCUUGCCUGACACAUUACAUAACUUGCAGUACCUUGAUUUAAGCCACAACAGCUUAACUGGCCCAAUACCUUCCAAAUUGUAUCUCUCCAUAAAUGAAAUCACGGGUUUCAUUCCUGAAAGUAUAGGAAAUUUAAGGAGUUUAAUAAAAUUGUAUCUCUCCACAAAUGAAAUCACGGGUUCCAUUCCUGAAAGUAUAGGAAAUCUAACGAGCUUACAAAACAUGGAUCUUUCCAACAACCGAAUCAUUGGCCCCAUCCCUUCAACCUUUUCGAAACUUAUAUCUUUAAUAACACUGAAACUUGAGUCCAAUGUGCUAAAUGAUAUACUGCCACCAGAACUAGGAUUUCUACGUAAUCUUUUUGUUCUAGAUCUAAGCAGCAAUCAGUUUACGGGAAGCAUUCCACCUCAGAUAGGACAGUUUCACCAUUUGUCCUUGUUGCGCCUGCGAAACAACUUACUGACAGGACCAAUACCAGAAGAGCUUGGGUAUUGUACCGACCUAACUGAGUUGGAUUUGAGCAGAAAUAAUUUAAGUGGUGCCAUACCAAUGACUUUCAUGAUGCUUUACCGAUUACUUGAGCUGAAUUUAUCAUACAACAGUUUGGGCGGCAGAUUUUUUGGUUUCUACACAACUGAAGCCUCUUCUGUAGUUUCACUAGACCAUAAUACAGGUAUCUGUGGUGAUCCAUUAUAUGGCUUGACACCGUGUCAACCAUCAAAUCCAAAUCCUGACAGUUUACAUACAAAUGAAAAUUCCGACAGUAAACAUCUUGUUCCGAGGCUACUUCUUGCCUUUGCAAUGUUUUCUUGCAUCUGGCUCGUGGGUGGAAGCAUCACAGUG
rnacentral:lncRNA from 1 species